rnacentral:rRNA from 1 species
UACGUAGGCAGCGAGCGUUGUUCGGAGUUACUGGGCGUAAAGGGUGUGUAGGCGGUUGUUUAAGUUUGGUGUGAAAUCUCCCGGCUCAACUGGGAGGGUGCGCCGAAUACUGAAUGACUUGGAGUGUGGGAGAGGUGAGUGGAAUUCCUGGUGUAGCGGUGAAAUGCGUAGAUAUCAGGAGGAACACCAGUGGCGAAGGCGGCCACCUGGACCGUCCCUGACGCUCAAACACGAAAGCUAGGGUAGCGAACGGG